UACUUUUAACAACGGAUCUCUUGGCUCUCGCAUCGAUGAAGAACGCAGCGAAAUGCGAUAAGUAAUGUGAAUUGCAGAAUUCAGUGAAUCAUCGAAUCUUUGAACGCACCUUGCGCUCUCUGGUAUUCCGGGGAGCACACCUGUUCGAGUGUCAUU
rnacentral:rRNA from 1 species